rnacentral:rRNA from 1 species
GCUGGCGGCAUGGCUAAGACAUGCAAGUCGUACGGACCGUUUAGUGCUUGCAUUGGACGGUUAGUGGCGAAAGGGUGAGUAAUACAUGGGUAACGUACCCCGGACUCGAGGAUAACAGCGGGAGCAAUCCCUUUAGCGAAAGUGCUGCUAAUACUCGACGAUGUCACCGGAUCGCAUGGUCUGGUGACCGAAGGUGGGGACCUUC